rnacentral:piRNA from 1 species
UGACACCAGCACCUGUGACCGUGUGU